UAAAAUAUACCUAUAGGUAGUAUAUGAUAGGUGCUUAUAGGCUUUAGUAAUGGUUAUUUUUUUCCAAGAACCGUCAAAUUAUUAACGGGAUAAUAUAUUUAUUAUUAUGAAUUGCACCGAAGAUAAAAAAAAACCCGAGCGGCGGGGCUUCACAGUUUUCAAAUGUUCGGGAGGAUAUAUAAAACACCAGUACCCUUUUUUAGUUGGUUUAAACAUACAAAUGUAUAAUUUACUUCAUAAUUGAAAGAUUACUUACAAUUACAAACAUGUUUUAUGUAAACGAAACGCUAUCAAAUAAAAUAAAUGCCAGCUUAUUGAAUAGAUAAUAUUUGAGUAGUAUCAAAACAAAUUUUAAUUAAAUUAGUAUGUACUUACUUACUCAAAUAAUAAUUCUUAAAAGUAUGUAUUGCAACACUGAUGUCUGAUAAUAUAUGCUAGAAGUCUAGAACCUAGAUAGCCGAUAGGUAUACUACAAUUUUAAUUGUAUUAAUUUGUUAAAAGGAUGUUAUACCCGGUUGUGAUGUCUCAGUCUUAAUAAUGUGAAGUGCAGUCAAUUUUAUGUAAGAGACAAGAGUGAAUUGACUUUUUAUACAAGUAUACAAUUUAAAGAAUAAAAUCUCCAGUUCAAAGAAAAUAAGGAAGAAAGAAGAAAUUGAAGAUUUUGUACUAACCUAUAGAAACGUACAAUUUCAUCACUCUUUGACAUUAUAAUGUGUAAAUGUUAAAAAUUUUCUGUUUGAGGACAUUACUAAUAAGCCUAUAGAGAAAUGGCUUUCACCAGAACUGAAUGCCACGGAACAUCAUUGGUCAAUUCAUCAAAAUACUUGCGGUCAUCAGCUAAGUCUGGAUAACAAAUCUGGAUAAUAUUUAGUGUCUUCUCGUUCUCGUUUACAGUUU